rnacentral:rRNA from 1 species
ACUGAAACAUCUUAGUACCCGGAGGAAGAGAAAGAAAAUUCGAUUCCCUUAGUAGCGGCGAGCGAAACGGGAAGAGCCCAAACCAACAAGCUUGCUUGUUGGGGUUGUAGGACACUCUAUACGGAGUUACAAAGGACGACAUUAGACGAAUCAUCUGGAAAGAUGAAUCAAAGAAGGUAAUAAUCCUGUAGUCGAAAAUGUUGUCUCUCUUGAGUGAAUCCUGAGUACGACGGAGCACGUGAAAUUCCGUCGGAAUCUGGGAGGACCAUCUCCUAAGGCUAAAUAC